AUACUUACCUGGCAGGGGGGUCUCCAUGAUCACUAAGGUGGAUCCCCUACGGCGAGGCGCGGCCAUUGCACUGACGGUUGCGCUGACCUGUACGAAUCCCUCAAAUGUAGGAAUCUCGACUGCAUAAUUUGUGGUAGUGGGGGACUGCGUUCGCGCUCUCCCCUG